ensembl:lncRNA
CACACGAGACAUACUUUUCAAGGAGGCACCAGGCAAGUGGAGACAACGGAAAGCACUGGCAAGUCAAAGCUUGGUUAAAAGCUUUCAUGUGAGACCUAAUGGCAUCUUUUCCCAUGCAGGUCAGCUACGGUGACGAUAAACCAUGCUCAAAAGCUUCACUGCAUGAGAACGCCACAUGCAAAAGAUUAGAAGCUGCAGAGAUAUAAAUUCAUCUCAGCCCAGAAAUCCUUCCCUGUGUGUACUGACUGGAGUUCCGAGACUGCAGAGCCAGAAUCAUUCUCCUCCUCUGGGUGCAGUCUAGGAGAUGGACACCUCCAACCACGCACACUUCCACAGCUCUUCCUUUCUCAUCAAGUCAGGCCUUGACACAGGAGAUGUUUUUGUCCCCUCUUUUUCCUGAGGUUACCCCCCGCUGCCUCUGUUGCCGUGUUUUACUUGACCACUAACAAAAAACUAGUUCUCAAUAAUUCAGCCUGGGAUUCUUCACGUAGUAAUGUAACGCGAGGAGCUGGGGCUUUCCAGAAGAACAACCGUUUUGCUAAGGAAACACGCCAUUUGGGAUGGGGACUCUACACAGCUCCUAAGCAGAAGGUGGUGGGGCUCUCACGUCCCUCUGCUCCCAGGCAGGGUCUCCAACACAGUUACCUUGAUUUGCAUUUCUCUUUUGCCUACUUGCAAGCACACCCCCUUCAGGGCACUUCUCAUCCCAGUCUCAGUCCUGUAAGAAAGGCUGUGGCAAAUCCACCUGCAGAAAACACUGCCAUUCCCUUUAGAAACAAAGAAACCACUCUGCCCUUGCUCCUGAGCCUGGUCCCUGCCUCUACCUGCAGGGCUUGGCUGUCCUGCCUCUGUUCGUGGGCCACUAAAUGAAAUGCAGACAACAGAGACAAAAAGAGGCAGAGGACUGGCACUAAUACUUCUCUCUUGGCGGGAAUCUCAACAGAAAGUGCUGUGCUAAAGCUGUGAGGUUCAAGGAACACCCCUAUCAAGGCAAAAGACGUAGUAUGGAAGGUUUGGUUAGUCUUCUGACUAGAAGAAGAGAAAGGACUAUUACCUCCUAUUUUAUUUUUCUUUCAGUCUCUCUCGUCAUGUAAAUCUGAGGAUGACCAAAGCCUGUUGCCCCAAGCAUUGCUGAACCCAUCAAAAUGGUUGCUCAGAGGUAUUGCACCGGCACAUCGCACAGAAGAACUGUGUAACCUAAGUAGCAAGGGGAGAAGAAAGGGGAGCGGCUAACAUUCA